CUGGAUUUUUUUGGUUGUUUGCCUUUUUUUGUUUUUUUGGUCUCUUUCUAUCCUCUGGAAAUGAUGAAAAGAUCACAUGAGGAGCAGGCACGGCGACCCAGGACCCUCGUAAGUCGGAGAAGACAUCGGACACAUGUAUCCCUGCACAGACCAUACAUCUGGGAGAUGAUUUUGGAAGUGUGAAGAAGACACAACAUCACUUCCUGGCAUGUGUUUUACUCCAGAUGAACGUCAGCAUGCUCUUUUUGAUUGCUUACCUGGUGUUAGUGCUCUGUGAAGGGAUCCUGUCACCACAGGACUGUUUCCCAUUCAGCUUCCCACAUACACAACCCCCAUGCUGGAUAUGCUGCACUCCAAAACAUGUGAGUGACAACAGGCUUGACAACCCUUGGGGUGGUGAAAGAUCUGGCGAGAGCAAGCCUCCCCAGCAUGCUCAUCAGCCUUAAGCAAUCAUGUCUGUGAUUAUGCUGCUGAAAUAAGGAGGUCCUGAAAGACCAGCAGACUGAGAGAUGGCUGAGAAGUUGGAGCCAUGGCUAUUUGUCUAGGAAGGAAAAAGAAAAGGUAAGAGAGAGUAUAAAAGGUACUGCCUGAAAGCUGGAACUUCAAAUCUUGCUCUAUGAUUGUCAUCUUAAUGUUCAGACAAAAUGUGUAUGCUGCCCUGCAAACUCUAGUUUCCUCCUCAGUAGACCUUACCUAGUUUAUCUACGGCUCCUGUAUCAAGACAGUGGGUGAUAAAUGGUCACCUAGAGCUAACUCAUGGUCAUCUUUGGAGCAGUUAGAUGUAAGUAAAUAACAUGUUUCUAGAAUGCAUGUUUGCUUUUCUACAACUAAUGACAUAUUUGUGGUUUGGAAGUCUCUUUUGCAAUGACCAAAAAUAAGGUGGGGAUUCUGCUUAGAAUCUAUGUUUCUAAAAUCAGAAUUUUGAGUCUUGUUCCAUACCUAUUUAGAAGUAAGCAAUAUGGAUGGGGAAGGCAAAAAAGUAAAAGUAAGGAGUAAUUAAGGCAUUUUUAAACAUCAGAGCUGUGUAAAACCACAAAGGGUAUUGUUAAAUCCUGGUUGAAUUUAUAUUCCCAUGAUUUCCAGACUUCUUGACAAAAUGGAGACUGAAACCCUAUGAACAUCUUCUCCUUUGAACUCCUAGCCCUAUCAGACUUGAGGUUUUCUGUGCACAGCAAUUUACAUCAUGAGAGUGCACUAAGCCACAGCAGCUGGGAGCCCUAACCACUCUGAAAGAAAAUGGGCAUUUGUUGUCAUGGUUUGACAACAGGCUUUCGGAACUAUAAUGCUUCACUGGAAUUCAAACAUUCAAUAUAAUGCCUACAAAUUAUGAUUUUGGAUGCAGAAUAUAUUUUGAAAAUUACUGAUUCCAUUUCCAGCAUGCUGAAGGAAAUGGAGGAAAUGGCAUUUUCUGAUGACAGCUCUAGUAUCUGCCCUGUGGAGCUGUAUGAGGAAAGCAGUAGUUUUCUGCCUUUUAAUCCCCUCUGUGUCCAUCCUUGUACCUGAAAAUAAAUGAAAAGCUGAAUAUUUGAACAUUUAUUUACUUAGGAAAAAAACACAGGAAAACCACUCUUUUCUUAAGAUGAGAAAUCUGAUUCUAAAGCUAUUUUUGAAAGAGUAAAGAGUAAACAGAUCCUUCUCAACACUGAAACAGCACCCUUGCAUUCCUCUGAAGAAACCAUCUACAUUUCUUGGGGUGUCACUAUUCCCUUGGAAUUUUGACUGCCACAGCGAGCAGGGCUUAGAGUCUUGACUCUUGGUUCAGAAAUCCAGACUGCAUUUCCUUUCACGACUGCUGACCUAGGAGCAGUCAUGAAGGAUGAUUUGGAGAUAGAUAAGUCUGCUCUCAUCCAACCCUCAGAUGGAUGUCACCAGUCUACAGCAGAUGAAUAGUGCAUUGAUCAGCACGUGCCUUCUUACCUUGUGCAUAUGAAGACAUUGGGGAGGCAUACUUCCUCUUUCUCUUGCUCUUUGCACACCACAUCUAUCAAGAAAAAAUGUAGUCUAGUCAGCUCAAAGGUAAAAGAAGCUGUCUCAGCAACAGGGGAAUGACUCAACAAGGAAACGACAAAGGGAGAAUCAAAUGUUUGUCUCUUCAAAAGGAUAUAAGACAUCUAGCUAUUCAUUCAGAAGCUCUAGGUGGGGCACUUUCUCACUGAUCCUGUAUCCAGUCAAAACAGCAGCUCAUGGCAAAGGUCCCAAAUAAUGUAAUGCAUUUAAAAAGUCCAAAUGAACAUCUGCAUCAUGUAGCUGCCUAUCCUUCAACACAGGAUAAAUACCAGGUCUAAAUAUCAGGCAGGGAGCUUGCUCAAUAUUAAACUUGAAAUAACUGGACUGUAACAUGUUUGCAAUGGCUUAAAUGGGUAGAGAAAGAAUCCAGCUCAAGGCAGAGCAUAUUUUGCAGAAAUGCCUAUUAGGUCUGAUUUUUUCACAUUACAUUAUUUUCUACAAGGCAGAAAGAUCAUAUGUUUUCCAAGCCGCAUCAGCUAGAGCACAAGGGAAAGAGGAUUCUGGAGUUUAGGUUAAGGCCAGUCUGAGUGCAGCGCUUGGGAUAACUGCUGAUCUCUUUAGACUCUCUAAUACCAGUUCUUUCUGAGUCUCUCAGGAGAUGGUUUGCUUGUACUAGAACUGAUAUUUCAAGAAUGAACAAUGGAAAACUGAAAAGAAGCAGAGGAAACCAAGCAAGUGAAGGCCAUAACAUGCUGAUUCAUACUUUAGAAAUUCCAUGGUGACCCUGGUAAAUUCAGCUCCACCAGUAGCAGGGGUUUUCCAUGGGUUAUCUGAAGAGAAGGGAAAUAAAAAUCUUCUUUUGCAGGUACUGCCUGGACAUGCCUCAUAUCUGGGCCUUUCACAGAGUUUCUGAAAAUCAUCUAAUCCUUGUUUCCACCUGCUCCAGCACAUCACAUUUUGCAGCUCAGCAAGUCUCUAUCUUUAGCCUCUCAGCAGUGGGACACUUUAGGCAGAAGAGGAUUAGCAGGCACACACAGGUUUAAGUGCAGCCUGCAACUAGUCACAAAUGCCUUAUCUGCAUAAGCUGUCAUUACUGGCAAGAAUAUGAAACAUAAUUGUUGCAUUGCGCUAUUUCUGAUUAAUUGGUUUAAGGCAUGAAGGAAGAGUGUUACUACCUAAAUAGGUAGUGAUAUAAAUAAUAGUGAUAUUCAUUGCAAUAAAACUUCGUUACACCAUGUCAGUAUAAUUCAGUAUUUUUUAAAACAAGGGGAACUGAUCUUUAUAAAGAAACAUAAGAGAAAACAUGGCUGAAGAUAAUGUGCCACACCAAACAUUAUUACUACAGUGUCAAAGGGACAUAAGCCUGACAAAUCUAGUUGGUUUAAUCAAAGUGUGGGCAUUUGAUACUGAUGUGGGUGUUGCUUAUGCAGAUUUUAGAGUAUUAAAUAAUUUAUCCCUAAAACCAUAUUGUUUUAUUUCAUGGGAUACUGUUGAACAAUUUCUUUACUACAGAAACAAGAAUGAUAACAGGAACAUGAUUUUCUCUCAUUUCUUUUUUUUCCCCUUAAAAACCUGAAGUGGUGUAAGGAUUUAAAAAUUAUUUACACAGAUCCUCAAAAGCAGGUGGUUUUAAUUGGAAAGACUUAUUACUGUAACUAAUCAUAUGCAAGCAUCUUUGUUUUUAUAAAGAUGAAGUUCCUCAUGUGUAAUACUCUCCUCCAUGGAAAUGUUCUUCUUCUUUGGAAACUGAGAUGUGUCCUCGCUCUGAACUUGGGUUUGGCAGAGUGUUUCCCUGUACCUGGGAUCUCUGCCAGAAAAAUGUGAAGACAUGGGGUGGGACAAGGGAGAGAAUGGGCUAGCUUGAGGGAGAGGUUAGCAGCCUGUGGUCAAGGGUUACAGAAACUCAAAAUAUGAAAACUUCACUAAAACUGAGUUGAGAAAAAUGAAGAAUAUAUAGGGGACAAUUCUUCCAAUGCAUAAGAAUGUUCAGAUAGAGAUGCACUGAGCUGGACUCCUAAUCUCUGCACACAGUAGAACUCCACUGAUAGUUAACAGAGUCUUACAUGUUUACAGUGGUAGAAAUUAAAUUCUAAUUUGGGUUCAUUAUUUCUUAUUUUGUCUUCACACUUUCAGGGUGGAAAUUAAUUAUUGUUUGGGUUGACAUUUUGAGAUUAGAUCUUUUUAAAUGAGUUUGAGAUUAAUUUUUUUCUUUGUAAAGUUAAAAUAAAAUCCAUGCAAACCAGACUGAUUUUAAGCAAGUGCUCUGUAAGAAGGAAGCAGCUAUUCCACAUCUGAAGAGAGGUAAGUUUGGAAUAAUAUAUGUACGUCUAUUUAAAAUCUUAAUUUAUUAAUAUGAAGAGUGAUAACUGUGGUUUUUUAGGCAGUUAUGACAAAGAAAAUUAUCUUUAAUGAUCAGCAAAGAGAUAGAAAUGAGGAAAACCCCUCAAAAGUAUUGUAUAAUUUUUGUCCGUUCAAAUAACUAACUGUUUGAGCCUUCAGGACUGAACCAUUAGGACUUCAACUUUUCUAACAUGCAUUUGGCUCUCAUGUUGGUAAAUAACAAAACCUUUUAUUGUCUGCUUAUAUUCAUAAUAUAUUAAAAAAGAGAUUUUUGUAGCAGAGGCAAAUUGUUAAAUUGUGAACAUUAAGUUAUCCAGGAGGACAUACUUGGUUGGCUAAAAUGUCUUUCUGCUUGUAAAUCUAAAAAAAAAUUUAAGGUAGUUGAUUUACUAUCCCAAAUCCUGGCAAGUAAUCUUGACUUUAAAGAGAAAGUGCUCAGAUCUGCACUCACUUGGAAUUUGAGGUGCAGCUAUGACUGUGGUGGAUGGACUUAAGCUAUGUAAUUAUAUAUGCCUUUGUCCCCUGGCUACACAUACACAAUUAUGACACUUAAGAGAAGGAUUUUAACUGAAAUAAACCUUGCCUGUGGAGCAACCAAGAAUUAUAUGCAGACAUCACAUUACCACAUCAUCUUUGCCUAGAGGAGUGGUGAAUGCAGGAAAAUAGGGUGUGACUCAACUGUUUGGCUUCUACAUGCAAAUGAUGUUGCCCAGCCCUGAUGAUUCAUUGUGUGCAUGGUUCAGGCUUAAUGCAAUUUGAAUUGUUGCUUGAAGCACCAUGUUUUGUGUAGUAAGACCUUCAGGGUAAGUAAUGCAGAGUAAACACUAUAUAGACCUGUCCUAUUCCCUUGCACUGUUCAAUUCUGUCCUCGCCCUAUGCUGGAAGACUUGUCAGAAUUAUUUGAUUUAUUAGUUGCUGCAAUUGCUGGUGUGACAAAACAGCUCCUUCUACUCCACAGUGCAAAUUUUGUUCCUCUGUAACAGGCAGUCACUAUUUAGGGAAGUUCAGGGGGCUCUGGAGGUUUGGACAUAUGCUUAAAAAGGCAUAGUUUAUCAGUCUGCAUAAAAUUUCCUCAUGUCAUGUGUACUGCCAGUAUUGAUUCAGUCUCUUGAAGACUAUAUAUCUGUGAGAAUGUUGUUGGCAUAGUGAUAAUUUUCUUAAUAUAAGAUGACCUUGGUUAAGUCACAGAUGUAGUGGAUGACUCACAUAGUACUAACACUCUUUACAUCCCUAUAAAGAUUCCUGUUUCUAACACUCACACUUCCACCUAGUUCCUCAUCAGUCUCUUUGUAUGAGUUUCACAAUUACGCUAAAGCUGGAAACCUGUGUUGAUGGGUAUUAAUUUCAUCAUCUCUCUGCUGUACCUCUGAGUAUGAAGAGAGUGAGAGAGAGUCAAUCUUUAUUAAAGUCAAUCUUUCUAGCUGUUUAUGCUUCUUCCUCUGACACAUGUUGUCAGCUUUUUUUUUAAUAAUUUUGUUUAUGUUGAUGAUUUUAAAAGCAAAACCCAAGUUCUCCUUUCAGGUCCAUCCAUCCAUCAAUCCAGCCCUCAAAAAUGAUUUACUAUGUAAAUUAUCAAACAACAAAAUGCAUCUUAUACAUUGAUCAUAUUUAUGAAAUCUUCAGUAAGGGAGAUAUUGAUGCUUUAUACAACAGAGAAAAUGAACCUGGCCACACAUUAAAAUCUUUCUCAAAAUAAAACUUUAAAAAAUUUGUGGAAAAAAUAAUUUGAAAAUGGGAGCUGUUACCUACAAUUAGACUGUAGAAUGGUCUUCCAAACUGAAUGUCCUCCAUUAAAAAAAUAAAGAGCUAUGAGGAGACAGUUUUGGAUUAAUUAUUUGGUCAUAAUUCUUAAAACCUCAGAAGAAAGUAGAAUAAUUUAUACAUCAACCUCUACUCUGCUGGGAGCAAAUGUGAAAAGAGCUAGAUUAGAACUUUGAAGUAUAUUAUUUGGUAUGUGUUUUUGAAGAUUUUUUCUCCUCAAGGAAGAACAUCUUAAAAAAAACAGUGAAAUAUAAAGGAUUUUUUUUUGUUAUUUGUUUAUUUGAAUAUAGGAUCUUUUUCAUACACACGCAGUCUUGACACUGCUCACAAAAAUAUUAAGGUCACUGAGAGAAGACUAUAAGCAAGUAAAUAUUAUCUAAAUAUUAUCAUUUGACAGGUGAAAGCAAACAGAUGAAGACUUCUGGGUUUGGGGCUCAUAUGAAAUCACAUCAUACUCUGAGAGUAAGCUGUUGCCACGUGCAGGGGUGAUGCAGUCCCAGGUGGACCUGGUCCAGCCAGGCAAGGCCACUGAGAUCCAGCAGCUGCUCAGGAGAUCCGUGUGUCAAAGCCAGCAAGCAUCAUCUGCACUUUAGCAACCUCUGCAAGCACUUCAAACAAUAGCACAAAACAACUCCGGUUUCAUAUGACUUUCCUUGGUUCCCUCUUGUCCACAACAUUUGGAAUGAUCCUUUGUUAUUCUGCUAAGAAUAUGUACCUCCCACCUGCUUUUCUACAAGAAUGAAGCAAUAACAUCUGUAACCUACCUAUAGUGAAAAGGAGCCUAACAACUUUUUUGCUAUUGUGUUGUAAAACACAUUUACAGUUCUUGCCCCCAUUAUUUCUAUUUUAAACUCACACACUACACUUCAAAAAAAGAAAGUGAGAGAUUUGAAGAAAAAACUACAUAUGUAACAGUUUAGUUUUCAAUUUAUUUAGGAAAAGUUAAUGUCUUUAGUAUACAAGAAAAUUCAGCAAUCCAAUUACAGUAU